rnacentral:rRNA from 1 species
AUACGGAGGAUCCGAGCGUUAUCCGGAUUUAUUGGGUUUAAAGGGUGCGUAGGCGGCCUUUUAAGUCAGCGGUGAAAGUCUGUGGCUCAACCAUAGAAUUGCCGUUGAAACUGGGAGGCUUGAGUAUGUUUGAGGCAGGCGGAAUGCGUGGUGUAGCGGUGAAAUGCUUAGAUAUGACGAAGAACACCGAUUGCGUAGGCAGCUGACCAGACCGCAAAUGACGCUCAUGCACGAAAGUGCGGGGAUCGAACAGGAUUAGAUACCCUGGUAGUCCGCACAGUAAACGAUGAAUACUUGUUUUCGGCGAUAUAAUGUCGGAGGCAAAGCGAAAGCGAUAAGUAUUCCACCUGGGGAGUACGCCGGCAACGGUGAAACUCAAAGGAAUUGACGGGG